AUUGAACGCUGGCGGCAUGCUUUACACAUGCAAGUCGAACGGCAGCGCGGGCUUCGGCCUGGCGGCGAGUGGCGAACGGGUGAGUAAUACAUCGGAACGUGCCCAGUAGUGGGGGAUAGCUCGGCGAAAGCCGGAUUAAUACCGCAUACGACCUGCGGGUGAAAGCGGGGGAUCUUUGGACCUCGCGCUCUUGGAGCGGCCGAUGGCAGAUUAGCUAGUUGGUGGGGUAAAGGCCUACCAAGGCGACGAUCUGUAGCUGGUCUGAGAGGACGACCAGCCACACUGGGACUGAGACACGGCCCAGACUCCUACGGGAGGCAGCAGUGGGGAAUUUUGGACAAUGGGCGAAAGCCUGAUCCAGCAAUGCCGCGUGUGUGAUGAAGGCCUUCGGGUUGUAAAGCACUUUUGGCGGGAACGAAAAGGACUGUGCCAAUACCACGGUUCGAUGACGGUACCCGCAGAAUAAGCACCGGCUAACUACGUG
rnacentral:rRNA from 1 species